rnacentral:rRNA from 1 species
GAUGAACGCUGGCGGCGUGCAUAACACAUUCAAGUCGAACGGUGAAGGGACUUCGGUCCCGGAUCAGUGGCGGACGGGUGAGUAACGCGUGAGUAACCUGCCUAUGCGUGUGGAAUAACACAGGGAAACUUGUGCUAAUACCGCAUAACAUGUAGCCUUCGCAUGUAGGCUACAUCAAAGAGCAAUUGCGCAUAGAUGGACUCGCGUCUGAUUAGCUAGUUGGUGAGGUAACGGCUCACCUAGCCGACGAUGUCUAGGGGUUCUGAGAGGAAGGUCCCCCACACUGGAACUGAGACACGGUCCAGACUCCUACGGGAGGCAGCAGUGAGGAAUAUUGGUCAAUGGAGGAAACUCUGACGCAGUGACGCCGCGUAUAGGAAGAAGGUUUUCGGAUUGUAAACUAUUGUCGUGAGGGAAGAAAUUUGACAGUACCUCAGGAGGAAGCUCCGGCUAACUAUGUG